CAGUGGCAUUGAUGCACCACACCAUGAGUACUAAUAGCUCCCCCUUGUGGACAAUCUUCAGCCUGCUAAAUCAAAGUGCGACGGUGCAAAAAUCAGAGGCUGAAAUAUCGAAGCAAGCCGACGGACCCGAACAGGGAAAGGAACGGCAGGAGGGUGGUCCCGGGCGCGGCGGUCAUUCCGGCAGCGCUGGAGAACCUCGCCGGGGACGAGCCGUAUUCGCGGGCGCUCCCUCGCUCCCUCCCUCGCUCUCUGCUCCCUCGCGAGCCGCUCCCUCGCGCUCCGCCCCUCGCGCCGCCCCUCACGCCGCCUCUCCAGACCUGCGACAUCACCGUCUCGCAGAAGAAGGCCGACAGCAGUACGAACGUCCAGCAGGCGGCUACAGCUCUGUUCAUCCUGGUAAAAAAAAUAAAAUAAUAAUAAACCCACUCUGGGGAAAGAAAGAAACAGGAUGUCAUGCCAUUUCCCCCAUAUUUGUUUAUUUUUUUAAUUUGUAGUAGGCUACAGUGAUGGAGGGUAUCCAAGCCCUUAGGCUAAGUAUGUUGCACCUGAUAAAAAUGUAUACCUGGAUUUGCUCAGGAACUGUACAUGAACGAUGUACGUAUGCACAAAAUGAUAGUAUACACUUUAACACAUUCAUUCUACUCAAGUGGACAGGAAGAGGCAAAUGGCAGUUUUUGCAGAUGUAUACAUCAUUUCCUGUCUCCAUACUGAAGGUGCCUGAGAUAUCUCUUUCUGGUGUGCUCUUAAUAGUGCUUAGUAGUGUUUUCAGCCUUUGGGGUCACAUUGUUCGUAACAAGGUAAGGAAAAAUUUUCUGAUUCACCUUCAUAGUGUCAUACAUUUUGGGAUCUCAAACUCUGUGGCAUUCCAGGACUUGACGUUCAGAUCCCCGUUCUCAAGUAUUUAAUAUGUAGUGUAUAUCAGUGCAUUAAAAUGUACUAAAUGUUGAAAAUUGAUAAAUUACUUAUUUAGUUUCAAUAAUUUUAAACCAUCAUCUUGGGACAAGGCAUUUUAAAUAUUUUAUUUACUUAUUUUUGCCUUUUUUUUCUGAACUCACAUGUUGACUGACAUCUGUCAUCCUCAUACGCUCUAAAUUCUCCUUGUGUCCACGUGAAUUUCCUCCAGGUACUCCAGUUUUAUCCCACAGUCCAAAGACAUACAGGUAACAUCACCAUCACCAAGUCGAACUACGCUGCUGCCGCAUACCACUUCAUCAGGGCAUUCAGGCGAGGGGAGCUGGGCAGAGUGAUGCUGGACUGAUCACACCGCCCCCUGCUGGUCAGAGGAAUGUUAAGGUGGUCCCAGGUGGUCAGUGGUUCUCCUUCAGGAAGAUUGAAAUGCCCUAUUUGCAGUGCUGUGAUAAAAUUGUGAUUAGGAAAACAGAGCGUCGUAAGUGUAGAGAUGCUUGCAUAAUAGUCCUCUAAGUGUGCCUUACAUGGGCAAAAACCCAGGUAACUAGGCAACUACCUGCGUACAUUUACCCACCCUUACAUAAACAAAAUAAACUGAAUGUAUGUUCAAUUAUCAAGAUAUUGCAACACUUAAAUACAUAUGGGAAAAUAAACUGGUUACUGUCACUUUCAGGUAUAGGAAUUUGUUUUGUACCAGUACACUGCUGUGAAAUAUAGUCAUCAUUGUAUACUUUUCAGAAGCCCAUCCAUGUACAUUUCAUACGGUACAUUUCAGUAUAUUCAAUUGUUCUUAAUGUAACGAGUCAAGCUUUUGCAUUGACUAGUUUCACGUUGUACUUUGAAUGGCAUUGAUGCAACGCACCAUGAGUACUAAUAGCUCUCCCUUGUGGACAAUCUUCAGCCUGCUAAAUGUGAGUACGUAUGUGCUUGAGUGAGUAAAUGAGUUGCAAGCCAGAUCCGUGAGGUGCUUUGCAUCUAAAUUGAGUCUGAUGUAAGUGCAUUAAUUAGAGAUAAAUGUGCUUUUUAAAGUGAACAUUCUGGAUGGA